UACGUAGGGGGCAAGCGUUGUCCGGAGUUACUGGGCGUAAAGCGCACGCAGGCGGUCCGCUUGGUUCGAGGUGACAGCUCCCGGCUCAACUGGGAGAGCGCCGCGACGACGGGCGGACUUGAGGACCAGAGAGGGACACGGAAUUCCGGGUGGAGUGGUGAAAUGCGUAGAGAUCCGGAGGAACACCAAAGGCGAAGGCAGUGUCCUGGCUGGGGCCUGACGCUCAUGUGCGAAAGCCAGGGGAGCGAACGGG
rnacentral:rRNA from 1 species